AUAAAAGUGUCUCAGAAAAAAAGAUUUCUGUAUAAAGCAAACCGAAAUGAUCUGUGUUUAAGCAUGGCACUUUGAGAGAAAACGUUGUUUUUAAUAUUAAUUAAAGUUAUUGUUCAUUUGCACAAUAAAUCACGACGUCCAGUUGAAGAAAAUAUCAAUCAUUCGGAAAAAGUCCGAAGACGCUUACAAAGUAAUGACUGAUACAAUAGCGAACUCCAAAUGCCCCAAAAUUCCAUUUUUAUACCCUUUCGCGCACCGAAAAUGUGUGAAGGCAGAAAGGAGAGCCAAAUUUGAAAAGAUCCCCUUAGGUGAAGUUUAGCAAUGCCGCAGGGUACAGCCAUCUUCUCGAGUCAUAGUUCUCGUUCAUUCUCGUUUUAAACUUUGAAUGAAACGCACGCAAUACUGCUGCAGGAGAAAUAGUGAAUGGAAAAUUACAACCCACGAGGUUUUAACUUUCUGUAAUUUUGUCUAUAUCGAUCAAGUGUACAUUAGCAAGAGAAUCAAGUUAGUUUUACAUCCAACUACUGGUAAAUAUAAAUGCACGAAUUUAACAGCAAAGGAAGUGUGAAAAAAGUGGCGUGUAGUUUUGUUGUAUUUCUUCAAUAGGGAAAAGAACGGGAUCGGUCGGAGCCGGCCGGCAACAACAUCGCCAGCGCGGCGUGGACCCGCCGUGCGCCAAUUAUUUCGGAAACCGAUCGGCGUAGACGAGAGCUUUGUGUAUAGAUUCGAUCCAACCUGCCACGGCAGGGUCACCACCUGCGGCCACGUGACACGCAAGGUGCCCCUACGAUCAGCAGAGACGCGAACAUUCUGGAAGGUGAUCGAGGCUACAGUUUGCAUGCGAACUGGACAAGUCUCUGGCUCGGCAGCCCUGCAAACGCAUGCCACGUGCUGUGUAAGAAAAGAAUCCAUUUCGAGCAAAAGGAACCAACCUAGAUGAUGACCGCAACUAGAACAUAACGUUACCAACAUUUAUUCUCUGUAUGUUCUGACUUGAAUACCCGUCACCCUUUUACAGCGUCUUCGAUGGGCCCUGAACCUGCUUCGCCGGAGUUUUGCAUGAAAAUCUGAUGCUAGCCCAGAACGUCAGAUUGGAUCAACAAGAAUUACUAGAUCGAAUUAUCGAGGGCAUACCUAAAGGAAAUUUGCGUAACCAAGGGCGAAUUCAAUGUUACCGAGAACGAUAUUUUGCAGAGGUGUACUUACCAAAGAAGAGAACCAACUUUUUCAAAAAGGAGCUGCUGGCGACGGCAAGUCGGUGCCACAAAUGUAACGCUAUAGGCACAUUCGCUAGAAAUUGCCCAAAGCCAAAGAGACAGCCCGGGUAGUGUUUUACAUGCGGUGAAAUGGGACACUGGGUAGAUCACUGUCCACAGAACAAAAGCAACAAGGAAACUGGCAACGACUACGUAAGAUAUUUUCAAAUACAUGUUUUGCAAAUUGGCUAAACACCCGAUAAUUGCAGAAUGCGUCAUAGAUUCGGGUACUCUGAUCUCCUUUAUUAAAAUGUGAAUGUUAUCGAAGAAUAAAUAAAAUAAUAUGAAACAA